rnacentral:rRNA from 1 species
UGGGGGAUAUUGCACAAUGGGCGAAAGCCUGAUGCAGCGACGCCGCGUGGGGGAUGAAGGCUUUCGGGUUGUAAACCUCUUUCGCUAUCGAACAAGGCUCGCUUAGGGUGGGUUGAGGGUAGUUGGAGAAGAAGCGCCGGCUAACUACGUGCCAGCAGCCGCGGUAAUACGUAGGGCGCGAGCGUUGUCCGGAAUUUUUGGGCGUAAAGGGCUUGUAGGCGGCUUGUUGCGCCUGCUGUUAAAACGAGUGGCUUAACUUCGCGCGAGCAGUGGGUACGGGCAGGCUUGAGUGUGGUAGGGAUGACUGGAAUUCCAGGUGUAGCGGUAGAAUGCGCAGAUAUCUGGAGGAACACCGAUUGCGAAGGCAGGUCACUGUGCCAUUACUGACGCUGAGGAGCUAAAGCAUGGGUAGCGAACAGG